rnacentral:lncRNA from 1 species
UGUAGGAUAGUUUAGCUAGUGUAAUUCAUCCACUCUUGUAUAUUGCUAGACUAGGAUUAAGAUGGAGAUGAGAAGGCAAGGUGAUGAGCUCAAGUGACAUGGGUUACAUUCCUUUCCAACUCUUUAUCUUUUGUACUUGAUUCCAAAUUUAGUUAAUAUGCAAGUUCUGGAAUUUAUGUCUAAUAUGUGUUUUUAAAGUUUAUACCUUGGGUUUGGUUGAACUUUCUAUGAUUGUUAGUGCUUAUUAUUUGGCUAUUUG